GGUUCGAUCCUGGNAGGNNGAACGCUGGCGGCGUGCUUAACACAUGCAAGUCGAACGGGAUCCAUCAGGCUUUGCUUGGUGGUGAGAGUGGCGAACGGGUGAGUAAUGCGUGACCGACCUGCCCCAUACACCGGAAUAGCUCCUGGAAACGGGUGUAAUGCCGGAUGCUCCGACUCCUCGCAUGGGGUGUCGGGAAAGAUUAUAUCGGUAUGGGAUGGGGUCGCGUCCUAUCAGGUAGUCGGCGGGGUAACGGCCCACCGAGCCUACGACGGGUAGCCGGCCUGAGAGGGCGACCGGCCACAUGGGACUGAGAUACGGCCCAGACUCCUACGGGAGGCAGCAGUGGGGAAUAUUGCACAAUGGGCGCAAGCCUGAUGCAGCGACGCCGCGUGCGGGAUGGCGGCCUUCGGGCUGUAAACCGCUUUUGAUCGGGAGCAAGCCUUCGGGUGAGUGUACCUUUCGAAUAAGCACCGGCUAACUACGUGCCAGCAGCCGCGGUAAUACGUAGGGUGCAAGCGUUAUCCGGAAUUAUUGGGCGUAAAGGGCUCGUAGGCGGUUCGUCGCGUCCGGUGUGAAAGUCCAUCGCUUAACGGUGGAUCUGCGCCGGGUACGGGCGGGCUGGAGUGCGGUAGGGGAGACUGGAAUUCCCGGUGUAACGGUGGAAUGUGUAGAUAUCGGGAAGAACACCAAUGGCGAAGGCAGGUCUCUGGGCCGUUACUGACGCUGAGGAGCGAAAGCGUGGGGAGCGAACAGGAUUAGAUACCCUGGUAGUCCACGCCGUAAACGGUGGAUGCUGGAUGUGGGGCCCGUUCCACGGGUUCCGUGUCGGAGCUAACGCGUUAAGCAUCCCGCCUGGGGAGUACGGCCGCAAGGCUAAAACUCAAAGAAAUUGACGGGGGCCCGCACAAGCGGCGGAGCAUGCGGAUUAAUUCGAUGCAACGCGAAGAACCUUACCUGGGCUUGACAUGUUCCCGACAGCCGUAGAGAUAUGGCCUCCCUUCGGGGCGGGUUCACAGGUGGUGCAUGGUCGUCGUCAGCUCGUGUCGUGAGAUGUUGGGUUAAGUCCCGCAACGAGCGCAACCCUCGCCCUGUGUUGCCAGCACGUCAUGGUGGGAACUCACGGGGGACCGCCGGGGUCAACUCGGAGGAAGGUGGGGAUGACGUCAGAUCAUCAUGCCCCUUACGUCCAGGGCUUCACGCAUGCUACAAUGGCCGGUACAACGGGAUGCGACACGGCGACGUGGAGCGGAUCCCUGAAAACCGGUCUCAGUUCGGAUUGGAGUCUGCAACCCGACUCCAUGAAGGCGGAGUCGCUAGUAAUCGCGGAUCAGCAACGCCGCGGUGAAUGCGUUCCCGGGCCUUGUACACACCGCCCGUCAAGUCAUGAAAGUGGGUAGCACCCGAAGCCGGUGGCCUAACCCUUUGUGGAUGGAGCCGUCUAAGGUGAGACUCGUGAUUGGGACUAAGUCGUAACAAGGUAACCAA
rnacentral:rRNA from 1 species